rnacentral:tRNA from 5 species
GCAUCAGUAGCUCAGCUGGACAGAGCAUAAGCCUUCUAAGCUUAGGGUCAGAGGUUCGAAUCCUCUCUGAUGUGCCA